rnacentral:rRNA from 1 species
AUACAAGCGAGCGGCGGACGGGUGAGUAACACGUGGGUAACCUGCCCAAGAGACUGGGAUAACACCUGGAAACAGAUGCUAAUACCGGAUAACAACACUAGACGCAUGUCUAGAGUUUGAAAGAUGGUUCUGCUAUCACUCUUGGAUGGACCUGCGGUGCAUUAGCUAGUUGGUAAGGUAACGGCUUACCAAGGCAAUGAUGCAUAGCCGAGUUGAGAGACUGAUCGGCCACAUUGGGACUGAGACACGGCCCAAACUCCUACGGGAGGCAGCAGUAGGGAAUCUUCCACAAUGGACGAAAGUCUGAUGGAGCAACGCCGCGUGAGUGAAGAAGGGUUUCGGCUCGUAAAGCUCUGUUGGUAGUGAAGAAAGAUAGAGGUAGUAACUGGCCUUUAUUUGACGGUAAUUACUUAGAAAGUCACGGCUAACUACGUGCCAGCAGCCGCGGUAAUACGUAGGUGGCAAGCGUUGUCCGGAUUUAUUGGGCGUAAAGCGAGUGCAGGCGGUUCAAUAAGUCUGAUGUGAAAGCCUUCGGCUCAACCGGAGAAUUGCAUCAGAAACUGUUGAACUUGAGUGCAGAAGAGGAGAGUGGAACUCCAUGUGUAGCGGUGGAAUGCGUAGAUAUAUGGAAGAACACCAGUGGCGAAGGCGGCUCUCUGGUCUGCAACUGACGCUGAGGCUCGAAAGCAUGGGUAGCGAACAGGAUUAGAUACCCUGGUAGUCCAUGCCGUAAACGAUGAGUGCUAAGUGUUGGGAGGUUUCCGCCUCUCAGUGCUGCAGCUAACGCAUUAAGCACUCC